CAUCGGUAGGCUCAGAAGCCGUUUACACCCAUCGACAUGAAGUUUCUUCUGAGGACGCUGUUUGUGGUUCUGUGUAGCCUGCUCUUCACUCUUGCUGGUGCCGCUCCCGGAGUUAUCAGCGACAGCAGUGAAGGACGAAGAACCCCCUGCAACAUAGGACUUCCGUGCAGUGAUUCCAGAUACACAACGCAUGAACCAGAGAUUAUAACACUUGCCGACUGCAGUAAAGGUCCAUGCUGAAGAGUCACAAAUGCUGCCAUGUGGAUCAUUGAAGGAGACGACUGGCCGCUCCAGGCCCCUAAAUGUGAACAUAUUACUCUUACUUACAUUUUGCAAGUCUCAUGAAAUUUUAUCAUAACGAAAACCACGAGUUAUACAAGAAACAUUCCACAGUGUUAAUAAAAAUAUCUACCCUGGCAUUCCAUAGUAACAUUUGUGUCAACGGUAUGAUCAUAUAAAGACGAUACACUACAGGCAAUGAAGAAAUUAUGUAACUGACUGUUGUCUGUAGGCCGUCUCAAUGCCUGAGUCUACAAGUGUUAACACGCCUUUGCGGUCUGUUUGCGUAUCUCUAUGGUUGUGGUUAAAAAACAACGACUGUGGUAACGCAGACGGACAUGUACAACGAUACUUCGUCGCCUUAGAUUUUCUUUGUUUUUGUCCUGACUUGCGUUCUGCAGCUCUACUAAAAUAUCUAGAUGCAUGCCCUUACAACAUGUGACCAUGCGAUGCAGACGUACCACAAUCCCGCUCUGUUACAGAUGGUGCUUUCCGGGUGCUACAUAACUGACCAAUAGAGCCAUAUUUCGUUUCAAACAUUCCUAGUGGAUGUAGAGAACAGUUUUAACUCCUAAAAGAAUUUUGACAGUACUUACAGCUAAACGAUAUCCUCCACGUGUUCUCAUUUAGUGCUUAAUCUCCUAGACUUAUAAUACAGCAGGUCUCUAAGUGCCACAGCUGUGUAUAGAGCAUAGAAUUUCAAGCAAUUAUAGGCAGACCGUGCCAAUCUGUUUGUACAACCGCGAAUAGAAAUUGAUCGAAAAUUGUGGUGCCAUUUUAACGAACAUUGUCCAGAGGUUAUAUCAGCAGAAACUGCUUGCCAUAAAUUCAGUUCAGUUAGAGUUUUAAAAUAAUUUAUUUGUCAUACUAAAAAGAGUCUGGUUGAAACUGUGCUACAUUAGUUGCACUGUGGUGUAAUGGCAGAUGUUUUACACUCAAAACAUUCUAGAACGCAACAGUAAGAUGAUGUAAUAUCACUGAUGCCAUACAGUGGUCUCGCCUGGAAUAAGUAUGUGGACGCAAAUGUAGAAAAUUUUACAGCAUGCAACCGCUUUCUUUCUACCUUUAUAAUAUCAGCGUUAUGUAUUUUAUUAAAACCUUUUAGUCGUGUUGCAAAUAUUGGAAAAGGUGUAUAAUUAUAUUUCACAUCCAGGGAACAUCAUCAUCUUGCCCUAAAACUGCCAUGCACUCAUUUUAUCUCUACAGUUGAAUGUAUUCCUAACGGUAUUUACAAAAUUUAAAUAUUUUUAUAAAUUCUUAUUGUUUCUCAGUUUAUGUGUUCGAAUAACUACUUAUUGAAGGACACUAAAAAUAAAAAAAAUAAAAAGACGCAUUACAUUUUAGCAAGCUAAUUCCGUAAUGCCCGCCCUCACACGACGACAAUUUGUACUGCUUGUCUUCUUGCUUGCCAGACACUACUUUGGCCUGCAAGGUCGCUGAGAACGUUGGAAUAUUAUGGACAGGGCGCUGUAACCUGCUCGGGAUUCUGACGAUCUAACGCGCCAUCUGGACUGAAUUUGGCAAGAUAUCCCUCAGGAGGAUUCUACCAAUCAAUGCUGAACCGAAUAACUGCUUGCAUAAGGGUCAGAUGUAGACCA